GACGAACGCUGGCGGCGUGCUUAACACAUGCAAGUCGAACGGAAAGGCCCUGCUUUUGUGGGGUGCUCGAGUGGCGACCGGGUGAGUAACACGUGAGUAACCUGCCCUUGACUUUGGGAUAACUUCAGGAAACUGGGGCUAAUACCGGAUAGGAGCUCCUGCUGCAUGGUGGGGGUUGGAAAGUUUCGGCGGUUGGGGAUGGACUCGCGGCUUAUCAGCUUGUUGGUGGGGUAGUGGAUUACCAAGGCUUUGACGGGUAGCCGGCCUGAGAGGGUGACCGGCCACAUUGGGACGGAGAUACGGCACAGACUCCUACGGGAGGCAGCAGUGGGGAAUAUUGCACAAUGGGCGGAGGCAUGAUGCAGCAACGCCGCGUGCGGGAUGACGGCCUUCGGGUUGUAAUCCGCUUUCGCCUGUGACGAAGCGUGAGUGACGGUAAUGGGUAAAGAAGCACCGGCUAACUCCGUG
rnacentral:rRNA from 1 species